GACGAACGCUGGCGGCGUGCCUAACACAUGCAAGUCAACUUGACUGAAGGAACAAUCUGACAGUAGAGUGGCGCAAGGGUGCGUAACGCGUAAGUAACUUGCCCCAAGGUGAGGAAUAACGUCGAGAAAUCGGCGCUAAUACCUCAUAAUGCAGCGGAUCCGCAUGGAUAUGUUGUUAAAGGUUUACCGCCUUGGGAUAGGCUUGCGUCUGAUUAGUUAGUUGGUGUGGUAACGGCACACCAAGGCUACGAUCAGUAACUGGUCUGAGAGGAUGAUCAGUCACACUGGAACUGAGACACGGUCCAGACUCCUACGGGAGGCAGCAGUGAGGAAUAUUGGGCAAUGCUCGAAAGAGUGACCCAGCAACGCCGCGUGGAGGAUGAAGGUAUUCUAUAUCGUAAACUCCUGUGAGAGCAGACGAAAGACAGAUUAUUAAUCUGGAUGACUGUAUGCUCAGAGGAAGCCCCGGCUAACUACGUG
rnacentral:rRNA from 1 species